rnacentral:rRNA from 1 species
CGAGAUUACGCUCUAUACCCUUUGUGAACAUACCUAUAACUGUUGCUUCGGCGGGUAGGGUCUCCGCGACCCUCCCGGCCUCCCGCCUCCGGGCGGGUCGGCGCCCGCCGGAGGAUAACCAAACUCUGAUUUAACGACGUUUCUUCUGAGUGGUACAAGCAAAUAAUCAAAACUUUUAACAACGGAUCUCUUGGUUCUGGCAUCGAUGAAGAACGCAGCGAAAUGCGAUAAGUAAUGUGAAUUGCAGAAUUCAGUGAAUCAUCGAAUCUUUGAACGCACAUUGCGCCCGCCAGCAUUCUGGCGGGCAUGCCUGUUCGAGCGUCAUUUCAACCCUCAAGCUCUGCUUGGUGUUGGGGCCCUACAGCUGAUGUAGGCCCUCAAAGGUAGUGGCGGACCCUCCCGGAGCCUCCUUUGCGUAGUAACUUUACGUCUCGCACUGGGAUCCGGAGGGACUCUUGCCGUAAAACCCCCCAAUUUUCCAAAGGUUGACCUCGGAUCAGGUAGGAAUACCCGCUGAACUUAAGCAUAUCAGUAAGCCGGAGGAAA